rnacentral:piRNA from 1 species
AUGUCCCUAGGACCAGUAGAGCAGUUU